ensembl:lncRNA novel transcript
AGGGCGGGCAGGAAGCACUCAUUUCGGGAGGUUGGGUGGCCGGCGCUGGGAUGGGGUUGGUUGAGAAGCCGCGGGAGGAGAGGACCUGGCUGAAAAGCCACGGUUGGGCGCUGGGAAGUCCAGGUGGUCGCUAGCUUACCCACCUCGGCUCUGCGACAGCGAGCCGGGCACUCCCGCCUUUCCUCUGCACAGCGCCCAGCGAUCCGCUCGGCUCGGCCCUGACAGGCGUAAUCUGCCCGGCGUCACCUCCAGCUGCUUCCUCGUUCUCGCUAGUUCCCUCUCGCACGCGAGCGCCAGGAGAAGAGAGAGAUUCGGAGAGGCGGCUGCACGGCUCCGGGGAGACGAGCGGCGGUUUUGCCUCAGUGCUUUUCCCCGGGGUUCCCCCAGAUCUGUGACCCUGCGACGCUUCCUUGAGCGAAAGCGCGCUUUGGGUCGUGUCCUCGUUGGCUCUCUACGGAGCUGGGAUUGUUGUAACCGCAAAGGAGGCAGAAAUGAGGGGAGACCUCUUAGACCAUGGAGGAAUUACAGUUUCCUCAUCCAGCCCUGGGCCCCAUCAAAGUACCACACCUGGCCACAGCUACCCAGUGCCACCGGCAGAGAAAAGGACCCCGCGUCCCUUUUGCUAUGCGCUCGCUCCUCGCUUUGGCCCCCUUGGUGAUGGGAAAAGAAGGCCUCCUGAUUAAUCACGUUUGAAGGUUGAUGACACGCACGAGCGCCGCUGCACGCGCAUGGGGCACCCGAGCACAGAGGUGCCCGGAAGGGGCGGACCAGCCCCCCUUGCCCUGGCCCGCUCCCCCUUCGAUUUCACGCGCUUUAAGGAUUCUCCCUUUGCAAUAUUUAGGCGUAGUUAAAAGAACCGCUGCGUUGGGAGAAGCCCCUCGCCGUAAAAAUGCGUUGAAAGAGAAAUUCCCACCAGAGGGCGCCAAGAGCCCAGAGACGGAGAGGCCCUGCGCUCCCGGGUCUCUCCGCCAGCGCCCGAGCGGAGCCCACACCUGGAGCUGCUGGCCAGACGGUUACGCGCCGGCUUGCCUCUUCAUGCCUUCCCUCACCGCCCUGUCACUAGUUUAAGUUCUCCCCUUUCUUCUCCCCCAGUUUUUUUCUUUAGGGCAAAAAUGUUGAUGUCUGUGCGUGUCUGGGUGACACCGUGUAGGCAGUGAUUCCUUUACUGGUAUUUACCGUGGUCCUCCCCCUCUCCCCAGGUGGUGCAGCACGCAGGGGUUAUUUAUGCGCACGUCUGGGGCCUCACUGGUUCAGCGGAGGCCCGUCCGUUUUCUUUGAAUGCCUUAUCGCCUUUCACCACAACACAAUGGAAACACACACAAAAAUAUUAUAAAUUACCGAGAGUUCCAUAAGGGAGAUCGAAGGGUCCGCCCUGGGCAGACAUGGCCUGAUCAGCAAGAGGGAUCUCGCUGUGGGGUUUGAAAUAAUCGCGUUGCCUUUGGUACUAAAGAAACUACUGUUUUGUCGCCUUGUCUCCACCUGACGAUGAAAUCCCCGGCACUUUUUAAGGACACAAAAAACAUCCUAAACGGCGGGGCGCGCGGUGACUGCAGCCCCGGGCACUGAGGCUUGGGGCUGGACAGGCUGGGGGUGUCUGCUCCACGUAGGAAACGUCCCCCCAAACCACUCAACCGGCAGCUGCUCUGCGCUGCUUGAAGUGGGCGGCAUACAACCAGGUGAAGCUCGGAAUUCCAUCCACCGGCCCUCCUAGAGCCUUCCCUAAACGAGACGCUCGCACCAAUCAGGGAGCCAGGUGCCAGUGCUAAAUCAUUCAAGACGCACGGGGCAGGAGACAGGAAGGAGGAGGCAACACAUCUCCCGGUGCCCCUCGUUCUUCAUUGUCCAGCAUAGACGCCCGCUCGCCUCAACCUUUUCCCAAAACCCGUGAUUCCCUGGAAAGGAAGAUUCGUUUACUUCACCUGUGGCACGAGAUUGAGACAUUUCCAACCACUUCCUCCUUUGACCCCAGAGUUCAAAACACCCCUAACGUUUUAGCCAAUGAAAUAAUCUCGUUGGAGAAGGAAUCUCCUGCAAGGCUAGGUAACGCAAGCUGAAGCUGAGUCCGUCCAGCUUCGAGGACAUCCCUCUCUUUCUCCUUUAUGGUGAGUAGGGGAGGAAUGAAGACUUUUGUCCGUCCU